rnacentral:pre_miRNA from 1 species
UUUUUAGUAUAAGUAUGUCCCAUGCAAUAUUUGGGGAUGUAGUUAUGUUAAAA